AUUGAACGCUGGCGGCAGGCCUAACACAUGCAAGUCGAGCGGAGCGGCGGACGGGUGAGUAAUGCCUAGGAAUCUGCCUGGUAGUGGGGGAUAACGUCCGGACACGGGCGCUAAUACCGCAUACUAUCAGAUGAGCCUAGGUCGUAUUAGCUAGUUGGGGGGGUAAAGGCCUACCAAGGCGACGAUCCGUAACUGGUCUGAGAGGAUGAUCAGUCACACGGGAACUGAUACACGGUCCAGAUUCCUACGGGAGUCAGCAGUGGGGAAUAGUUGGCAAUGGGCGAACGCCUGAUCCAGCCAUGCCGCGUGUGGGAAGAAGGUCGUCGGAUUGUAAAGCACUUUAAGGUGGGAGGCGUUUCCAACAGGAUACGGCCCGGAUGACUUCGUGCCAGCAGCCGCGGUAAUAC
rnacentral:rRNA from 1 species